UACGGAGGUGGCAAGCGUUGCUCGGAAUCACUGGGCGUAAAGGGCGCGUAGGCGGGGAGGUAAGUCGGGUGUGAAACUCCGUCGCCAACCGAGGAACUGCGCCCGAGACUGCUUCUCUUGAGUCCCGGAGAGGAAGAUGGAAUUCCCGGUGUAGCGGUGAAAUGUGUAGAGAUCGGGAGGAACACCGGUGGCGAAGGCGGUCUUCUGGACGGUGACUGACGCUGAGGCGCGAAAGCGUGGGAGCAAACAGG
rnacentral:rRNA from 1 species